UACGGGGGGGCAAGCGUUGUUCGGAAUUACUGGGCGUAAAGGGCGCGUAGGCGGCCAACUAAGUCAGACGUGAAAUCCCUCGGCUUAACCGGGGAACUGCGUCUGAUACUGGAUGGCUUGAGUUUGGGAGAGGGAUGCGGAAUUCCAGGUGUAGCGGUGAAAUGCGUAGAUAUCUGGAGGAACACCGGUGGCGAAGGCGGCAUCCUGGACCAACACUGACGCUGAGUGAGCGAAAGCCAGGGGAGCAAACGGGG
rnacentral:rRNA from 1 species